ACUAUGAGAUUCUAAACACCAUGUUACCUCCAAGUAACUGUGUUAAUUGUGACUCUCUGAAAUGGCGUUUCCUUUUGAAUCAGCAUUUCAGUUGUUUUCUCCUCUCUUCUCCUCAGGAUUUGGAAAGUAACUGCAAUGCAAAGAGUUCAUUGGUGCCAGAGAAUAUUUGGGUUUGAUUUUUGAAAGCCUGGAGCAGUUCCUGUGCUGCACAACGUGCUUGUUGAAUCAACCCGAGCUGUGACCAUUUCAGUCGAAGCCAGUUCUGAACACCUCGUUGCCAGCAAAUGUUGGGAUCUUUCAACUUGGCCCCCACAUCUGAGCCCAACACCAUCUGUGCCUUCUUUCUGCAGCAGAGUUGCAGAUUUUGCUAAUAAGAGCAAGGAAAAACAGGAAAGAGACUGUAAAACUUUUCAAAUUAAUUUAAAAUACCUUUUUUGCUUAAAUAUUUUUCUGCAAACAGAUUAGAAUGACCUACAUUCUUUUUUUGCUUGGAAAUAAUUUCAGCCCAAGAUGAGUCUGAGUGAAGCUGCUCUAGUGGUGGUCUGGUGGCACAGGCUGAGAACAUCCAUGAAAUGAACAGAGUCAAGAAAAAGCAAUGCUAGAACAGAAGAUAGACCUCACAUAUAUACUAUGUUGUUCUAAUGGGGAAUGGAACUAGCAAGAUCGGACUAGAUUGUCAGGGUUAAACAAAAAAGGAGAGGCAAUUCCAAGAAGAGGCUGGCAUCCACUGGUACUUGGUCCCUCACUGAUGAUGCAAGAAGAAAGCAGAGACCACCCACCUGUCCAGGAGUGUUUCCUGUGUGCCACAAGGCAUUGCGGA